rnacentral:rRNA from 1 species
AGAACGAACGCUGGCGGCAUGCCUAACACAUGCAAGUCGAACGUGAUCCAUGACUUCGGUUGUGGUGAAAGUGGCAAACGGGUGAGUAACGCGUGGGAAUCUGCCCAGAGGUAGGGAAUAACCGCGGGAAACUGCGGCUAAUACCCUAUGUGCCCUGAGGGGCAAAGAUUUAUCGCCUUUGGAGGAGCCCGCGUCGGAUUAGGUAGUUGGUAGGGUAACGGCCUACCAAGCCUACGAUCCGUAGCUGGUCUGAGAGGAUGAUCAGCCACACUGGGACUGAGAUACGGCCCAGACUCCUACGGGAGGCAGCAGUGGGGAAUAUUGGACAAUGGGGGCAACCCUGAUCCAGCAAUGCCGCGUGAGUGAUGAAGGCCUUCGAGUUGUAAAGCUCUUUCGGCGGGAAGAUGAUGACGGUACCCGCAGAAGAAGCCCCGGCUAACUUCGUGCCAGCAGCCGC